rnacentral:rRNA from 1 species
GACGAACGCUGGCGGCGUGCUUAACACAUGCAAGUCGAACGGAAAGGCCCUGCUUGCAGGGUGCUCGAGUGGCGAACGGGUGAGUAACACGUGGGUGAUCUGCCCCUUACUUUGGGAUAAGCCUGGGAAACUGGGUCUAAUACUGGAUAGGACCAUGCUGUAGGUGGUGUGGUGGAAAGAUUAGUUUCGGUAAGGGAUGAGCUCGCGGCCUAUCAGCUUGUUGGUGGGGUAAUGGCCUACCAAGGCGUCGACGGGUAGCCGGCCUGAGAGGGUGGACGGCCAAAUUGGGACUGGGAACCGGCCCAGACCCCUACGGGGGGCAGCCGGGGGGAAUAUUGAACAAUGGGGGAAAGCCUGAUGCCGCGACGCCGCGUGGGGGAUGACGGCCUUCGGGUUGUAAACUCCUUUCAGCCAUGACGAAGCCCUUGUGGUGACGGUAGUGGUAGAAGAAGCCCCGGCUAACUACGU